AGAAAAAUGCUUUUGGAUAUAAGAAAUGGAAAUGCAUAAGCUGAAAGAUCACCACUGUCAAAGACCUGAACAUCGUAUGAUACUGCAUUUCCAAGCCUGCAUCACUGAAAGACUUCAGUCCAUAAAGAUCCACUGCCAUUCUUUGGGAGAAGGAGAUCCCAAAUAUCAAAACACUGUGAAGCAAACAUGCUAAAUACAGUUAAGUCAUCCUCAUAAAGAACAUCUUGGUUUUCAAAGA